rnacentral:rRNA from 1 species
UACAGAGGUCCCAAGCGUUGUUCGGAUUCACUGGGCGUAAAGGGCGCGUAGGCGGCUCAUGAAGGCUGUGGUGAAAGUCCGGGGCUCAACCUCGGAUCGGCCGUGGCGACUCGUGGGCUGGAGCACUGUAGAGGCGGGUGGAAUUCCGGGUGUAGCGGUGGAAUGCGUAGAGAUCCGGAAGAACACCGGUGGCGAAGGCGGUCUGCUGGGCAGUUGCUGACACUGAGGCGCGACAGCGUGGGGAGCAAACAGG